rnacentral:rRNA from 1 species
CCUACGGGAGGCAGCAGUGAGGAAUAUUGGUCAAUGGCCGGAAGUCUGAACCAGCCAUGCCGCGUGAAGGUCAGUGCCCUAUGGGCGUUAAACUUCUUUUGUGCGGGAGCAAUAAUGGUCACGUGUGGCCAGACGAGAGUACCGUACGAAUAAGCAUCGGCUAAAACCGGGGCAGCAGCCGCGGUAAUACGGGGGAUGCAAGCGUUAUCCGGAGUUCUUGGGUUUAACGGGUGCGUAGGCUGUGAGGUAAGUCAGCGUUGAAAUGCCCCCGCUCAACGGGGUGAAGUGCCAUUGAUACUGCCUGGCUGGAAUGCGGAUGCCGUGGGAGGAAUGUGUGGUGUAGCGGUGAAAUGCAGAGAUAUCACACAGAACACCGAUUGCGAAGGCAUCUCACGAAUCCGCGAUUGACGCUGAUGCACGAAAGCGUGGGUAUCAAACAGGAUUAGAUACCCCAGUAGUC